rnacentral:rRNA from 1 species
UGGGGAAUAUUGGACAAUGGGCGCAAGCCUGAUCCAGCCAUGCCGCGUGAGUGAAGAAGGCCUUAGGGUUGUAAAGCUCUUUCAGCGGGGAAGAUAAUGACGGUACCCGCAGAAGAAGCCCCGGCUAACUUCGUGCCAGCAGCCGCGGUAAUACGAAGGGGGCUAGCGUUGUUCGGAAUUACUGGGCGUAAAGCGCGCGUAGGCGGAUUUGCCAGUCAGGGGUGAAAUGCCAGGGCUUAACCUUGGAACUGCCUUUGAUACUGCAAGUCUGGAGUACGGGAGAGGUGAGUGGAAUUCCGAGUGUAGAGGUGAAAUUCGUAGAUAUUCGGAGGAACACCAGAAGCGAAGGCGGCUCACUGGCCCGAUACUGACGCUGAGGCGCGAAAGCGUGGGGAGCAAACAG